rnacentral:rRNA from 1 species
GGCAAUGCGGCAGCCUUCCAUGCAGUCGACGGCAGCACGGGCUUUCGGCCUGGUGGCGAGUGGCGAACGGGUGAGUAAUACAUCGGAACGUGCCCUGUCGUGGGGGAUAACUAGUCGAAAGAUUAGCUAAUACCGCAUACGACCUGAGGGUGAAAGCGGGGGACCGUAAGGCCUCGCGCGACAGGAGCGGCCGAUGUCUGAUUAGCUAGUUGGUGGGGUAAAAGCCUACCAAGGCGACGAUCAGUAGCUGGUCUGAGAGGACGAUCAGCCACACUGGGACUGAGACACGGCCCAGACUCCUACGGGAGGCAGCAGUGGGGAAUUUUGGACAAUGGGGGCAACCCUGAUCCAGCAAUGCCGCGUGUGUGAAGAAGGCCUUCGGGUUGUAAAGCACUUUUGUCCGGAAAGAAAGCCUCUGCCCUAAUACGGUGGGGGGAUGACGGUACCGGAAGAAUAAGCACCGGCUAACUACGUGCCAGCAGCCGCGGUAAUACGUAGGGUGCGAGCGUUAAUCGGAAUUACUGGGCGUAAAGCGUGCGCAGGCGGUUUGAUAAGACAGGCGUGAAAUCCCCGAGCUUAACUUGGGAAUGGCGCUUGUGACUGUCAGGCUAGAGUAUGUCAGAGGGGGGUAGAAUUCCACGUGUAGCAGUGAAAUGCGUAGAGAUGUGGAGGAAUACCGAUGGCGAAGGCAGCCCCCUGGGACGUCACUGACGCUCAUGCACGAAAGCGUGGGGAGCAACA